rnacentral:tRNA from 1 species
UUGGGGCUGGGGCAGUGGUAGAGUGUUGCCUAGCAUGCACAAAGCCCUGGGUUCAAUUCCCGGCACCAAA